rnacentral:rRNA from 1 species
GAAAGGCUUCGGUCGCUUCGGGAGGGGCCUGCGUCCCAUCAGCUAGUUGGUAGGGGUAAUGGCCUACCAAGGCGAAGACGGGUAGGGGACCUGAGAGGGUGAUCGGCCACAUUGGAACUGAGAGACGGUCCAAACUCCUACGGGAGGCAGCAGUGAGGAAUAUUGGUCAAUGGGCGCAAGCCUGAACCAGCCAAGUAGCGUGAAGGAAGACUGCCCGUAUGGGUUGUAAACUUCUUUAUACGGGAACAAACCCUGGUACGUGUACCAGAUUGCGUGUACCGUAUGAAUAAGCAUCGGCUAACUCCGUG